rnacentral:piRNA from 1 species
UCCUGACAGGUUNUUUGCCUGACUCCAAG